rnacentral:rRNA from 1 species
AGCAGCCGCGGUAAUACCAGCUCCAAUAGCGUAUAUUAAAGUUGUUGCAGUUAAAAAGCUCGUAGUUGAAUUUCGGGAUCAAUUUAUCGGUCGUGCCUAUGGUAUGAACUGGUACAAUUGGUUUCUCCCUUCUGACGAAGCAUGAUGUCAUUAAUUUGGUGUCGUGGGGAAUCAGGACUGUUACUUUGAAAAAAUUAGAGUGUUUAAAGCAAGCAUUAGCUUGAAUACAUUAGCAUGGAAUAAUGAAAUAGGACGUUUGAUCCUAUUUCGUUGGUUUCUAGGAUCGACGUAAUGAUUAAUAGGGAUAGUUGGGGGCAUUAGUAUUCAAUUGUCAGAGGUGAAAUUCUUGGAUUUAUUGAAGACUAACUACUGCGAAAGCAUUUGCCAAGGAUGUUUUCAUUAAUCAAGAACGAAAGUUAGGGGAUCGAAGACGAUCAGAUACCGUCGUAGUCUUAACCAUAAACUAUGCCGACUAGGGAUCGGAUGAUGUUAAUUUUUUAAUGACUCA